UAGGGAAUCUUCCACAAUGGACGCAAGUCUGAUGGAGCAACGCCGCGUGAGUGAAGAAGGUUUUCGGACCGUAAAGCUCUGUUGUUGGUGAAGAAGGAUAGAGGUAGUAACUGGCCUUUAUUUGACGGUAAUCAACCAGAAAGUCACGGCUAACUACGUGCCAGCAGCCGCGGUAAUACGUAGGUGGCAAGCGUUGUCCGGAUUUAUUGGGCGUAAAGCGAGCGCAGGCGGAAGAAUAAGUCUGAUGUGAAAGCCCUCGGCUUAACCGAGGAAUUGCAUCGGAAACUGUUUUCUUGAGUGCAGAAGAGGAGAGUAGAACUCCAUGUGUAGCGGUGGAAUGCGUAGAUAUAUGGAAGAAUACCAGUGGCGAAGGCGGCUCUCUGGUCUGCAACUGACGCUGAGGCUCGAAAGCAUGGGUAGCGAACAGGAUUAGAUACCCUGGUAGUCCAUGCCGUAAACGAUGAGUGCUAAGUGUUGGGAGGCUUCCGCCUCUCAGCGCUGCAGCUAACGCAUUAAGCACUCCGCCUGGGGGAGUACGACCGCAAGGUUGAAAC
rnacentral:rRNA from 1 species